CAGCUGGACCGGACGGUCGCUCGCGUCGUUUUCGGACGAGGCGGGAGGAAAGUCCGAACUCCGCAGAGCAGUGUGCCGGAUAACGUCCGGGAGGGUGGGUCCAAGCCCACUCGACGGAAAGUGCCACAGAAAACAUACCGCCCCGGCGGCAACGCUGAGGUAAGGGUGAAAAGGUGCGGUAAGAGCGCACCGCCGCCGCAGUAAUGCGGCGGGCAGGGCAAACCCCACACGGAGCAAGACCAAAUAGGGAGGGACCCGGGUUCGCCUGGGACACGUGCCGGCUCGGCGCGUCACCACCUCCGGGUAGGUCGCUUGAGCCCCGCAGCAAUGCGUGGCCCAGAGGAAUGACCGUCCUGCCGGGCAACCGGCAGACAGAAUUCGGCUUACAGGUCCGGCUGCCAC
rnacentral:RNase_P_RNA from 1 species